rnacentral:misc_RNA from 1 species
CUGCUGUGCUGGAGUGGUUCCCUGAGAGUCUUCUGAAGGCCUGGUUCUGGUACCAUUGAGACGGUAGCUUCUUCCUCGGAAAGCAACUCCUGCGGAGGGAUCACGCUGCACUGGGGCAUUUACUUGUGUCCCUUCACCCCAAAAUGCAACCAGUUUGUGAACCCAGAGAGGAGUCCUCAGGACGAAAUUUCCACCAGAAAGAGGAUGAAGCACUGUCAGGAAAUAAUAUAGAUGUCCAGCAACCAUCCCCAGAAUAUCUGGCAUCAAUGGAUUCCCGAAAAUCAGAUCCAGGGCUAGCAUUGCCCAUGGAAGAUAGAAUCCCUUCAACGACACAAGUCCAUAUAUGUUG